rnacentral:rRNA from 1 species
UACGUAGGGGGCAAGCGUUGUCCGGAAUUAUUGGGCGUAAAGCGCGCGCAGGCGGUUCAUUAAGUCUGGUGUUUAAGGCUGGGGCUCAACCCUGGUUCGCACUGGAAACUGGUGGACUUGAGUGCAGAAGAGGAAAGUGGAAUUCCACGUGUAGCGGUGAAAUGCGUAGAUAUGUGGAGGAACACCAGUGGCGAAGGCGACUUUCUGGACUGUAACUGACGCUGAGGCGCGAAAGCGUGGGGAGCAAACAGG